rnacentral:rRNA from 1 species
CCUGGCGGCACUAGCGCGGUGGUCCCACCUGACCCCAUGCCGAACUCAGAAGUGAAACGCCGUAGCGCCGAUGGUAGUGUGGGGUCUCCCCAUGCGAGAGUAGGGAACUGCUGAAU